AAAUGGCGCCCAAAGGUAAUAGAAGGGAUCGAUUUUAAACGCGAGUCUUAAAGACCCGGUGUAAAAUGGAACCCUGGUAGAACGAAACUCAGCCGGUCCGCGAGCCGGGAAUAAAUUCUAGCCGUCGUAGCCGCUGAGAGGAGUAGAAGAGAGGAAAAUGGACAUGGUAGUUAUGUAUCGGAGGUAGAAGGGAAGGAAGUGUGUGUCCCGAGUUGUGGUCCAGGUAUUACCAGGUGGUAGUAGCCUCGUUGUCCGACUCGUGGAGCUCGCUGUCUGGAUCUGAAAAGAGGAAGAGGUGCCGGAGGAUCUGUCGAGUCGUGGUCCGGGCUAUGUCCAGAGGCAUUAACGUCGUUGUCCGAUUCUGGGGGAUCCCCGGUGAUCCGAGGGAGGAAACAGGGAAAGGGAGUUGGCACUCAGAAAAAGUAAGCGAAGGUAAAUAGCAAGGGGAAAAGAAGGGGGUCCGCUCACCUGCAAAACAAUUAAUGCAGUUGUCUCUCGUCCC